rnacentral:lncRNA from 1 species
UACUAUACAUUUUUUGUGUAGCUUGCUUGUAAGUCAAAUUAGCUCUACAGAAAGCUAAUAUCACCUUUCUUUUAAAAACUAUCUAAAAAAAAUGUCAAACGAAUGUUUUUUCCAUGUCAUUGUAACUUAUUUUAGAUUGAAAAUGGGAACUAUCAAAGCUUUCUGCAACAAAAACUUCAUCUUCGUGUGGGGUGAACGCCUCUGGACUUCUAGCUGCAUAUGUAGUGCUUCUUUGAUUUGCAUUCCACUGAAAAGAAA